rnacentral:rRNA from 1 species
UGAGUUUGAUCAUGGCUCAGAACGAACGCUGGCGGCGCGCCUAACACAUGCAAGUCGAACGAGAAUCCGGGGCAACCCGGUAGUAAAGUGGCAAACGGGUGAGGAAUGCAUGGGUAACCUACCCUUGAGAAGGGAAUAACCCGCCGAAAGGUGAGCUAAUACCCUAUACGCUAUCAUUUUUACGAAAAAGAUAGGAAAGCCGGGUCGAGGACUUGGCACUCGAGGAGGGGCUCAUGUCCUAUCAGCUUGUUGGUGGGGUAACGGCCUACCAAGGCUACGACGGGUAGCUGGUCUGAGAGGAUGAUCAGCCACACUGGCACUGAGAUACGGGCCAGACUCCUACGGGAGGCAGCAGUGAGGAAUAUUGCGCAAUGGGCGAAAGCCUGACGCAGCGACGCCGCGUGGGGGAUGAAGGUUUUCGGAUUGUAAACCCCUUUCAUGAGGAAAGAUAAAGUGGGUAACCACUUAGACGGUACCUCAAGAAGAAGCCACGGCUAACUUCGUGCCAGCAGCCGCGGUAAUACGAAGGUGGCAAGCGUUGUUCGGAUUUACUGGGCGUAAAGAGCACGUAGGCGGUUGGGAAAGCCUCUUGGGAAAUCUCCCGGCUUAACCGGGAAAGGUCGAGAGGAACUAUUCAGCUAGAGGACGGGAGAGGAGCGCGGAAUUCCCG